UUAAAAUGUGAAAAAAACCAGAAGAGCACUUACACAAAUCGGCACACAAAAUGCCUCGUUAGGCUAAUAGCAGAUAUGCCUAACGUCGAUAUAUCAGCCAAGGCACAUACACGCACAACGUUAUGCGAGACAAUGCUGCUAGGAAAGCCCUGUAAACUGAUGUGACGCUCUCCGUAGGAUGGAACAACUUCUGCUGCUGGAGUUACACAAACAAAAUGUGUUUCUGGCGAGCCCACGACCCUCGGAUCACAAGGCGACAACUCUACUUAAUAUGGCGAACAAUCUACUCUGGUACACAGCCAUCCUUGACGGACAGCGUACAGCUUUUGACGGGCUUUCCUAGGUUUUUAUAGAGGUGACAUACUACAGGUUAUUACACGCACAUAUUCACGCACUACACAUUCACAAUUUCUCGUUAAAUAACUCAAGGCUAAUGGCGAGUCCGUUGGUAUGGCGAACACACAUUUUAAUGUUUAAUACAAUUCUAGCAUGUUAAUAAAUAUAAUUAAAGAAAUGACAA